AUGAGCCGGCGAGUGAUGGAAUCCGGAAGCAGGUGGGCAAGAUUGGCAUUUGACGGAGAUGAGCAGAAAUACGAGUUGUGGGAAACCAAAUUCCUAGGCCACUUACGAUUGCAAGGACUAAAAGACACUAUAUUGAGCACCGAUGAAGGUGAAGCUGAUUCCGAUGAUGAGAAUAAGAACGCGGAAGCGUACGCAGAAUUGAUCCAAUUCCUGGACGACAAGAGCCUGUCUCUCGUGAUGAGAGACGCAGCUGACGAUGGCCGCGCAGCACUACGGAUAUUGAGGGACCACUACGCUGGCAAAGGUAAACCCAGGAUCAUCGGUCUUUAUACUGACUUAACUUCCCUUCAGAAGACGCAUGAUGAAAGUGUAACGGAAUAUAUCCUACGAGCGGAGACUACAAUUACUGCUUUAAGAAACGCAGGAGAGACACUAAGUGAUGGGCUGCUGGUAGCUAUGAUUUUAAAAGGAUUACCAGAGACAUAUAAGCCAUUCUCUGUGCAUAUAAUGCAAAGUGACUCGGAUGUUAAGUUUGCUGACUUCAAGAGCAAGCUACGUAGUUUUGAGGAUACAGAGAAAAUGCGCAAGGAAGAACAUGACAACGUCAUGAAGGCGAGACCAAAUUACAAUGAGUCUCGACACACGGCAGCAGCUGUUGCAAAUCGAAGAGGAGACACAGUGACCGGAGUGACCUGUUUUAAGUGUGGCCGACAAGGACAUAAGGCCAGAACGUGUCGUCAGAAGCAGUGGUGCAGCCGAUGCAGGAGCAACACUCACCGAGACGCGACGUGCCGGAGGAAUCAACGAGGUGAUGAGGUACGCAUAGCUCGUGAGGAUGACGACGACAGGACCCAAGACAACACUUAUGCUUUCAAGCUAAAGACAGACAACGCGAAUCCUGGAAUUGGGAAGGAGAUUGAGAUUAAAGGUUUGAUGGUGGAUACUGGUGCUACGUCACACAUCAUCACAGACAUCAGUGCUUUUAAGAAGUUUGACAACAAUUUCCAUGGUGGGACACACUGUGUGGAGCUGGCUGAUGGCAGCAGAUGUAAAGGAGUUGCUGAAGGUAGAGGAGACGCUGUGGUGUACCUGAUCGACAGCAGAGGGCAACAAUGUCAAGUAACAUUGAAAGAGGCAUUGUACAUCCCAUCUUUCCCGCAGAACAUCUUUUCUGUGAGAGCUGCAACAGAAAAUGGAGCAACCAUCGUCUUCAAAACAGGUAGAAACAGAAUAAAACACAAAGACGGUACUGAGUUUAACAUAUAUGAGCACAACAGACUGUAUUACAUUGAAACUGUUACUGAAUACACUGAUAAAUGUGCUAAGUGCUUGGACAUACAAACGUGGCAUGAAAUUCUAGGUCACUGCAAUCAUGAUGAUUUACAAAAGCUGGAGAAUGUAGUUGAUGGCAUGAAAAUCAAAGGCAAACUGGGAAAAGAAGUAAAGUGUGAAGUAUGUAUCCAAGGUAAAUUUGUUCAAUACAGAAAUAGAAAACCAGACAGAAGGGCUAAGAAACCUCUUGAACUAGUGCACACAGAUCUGGCCGGUCCAAUAAGUCCAGCAUCUAAGGAUGGUCAUAAAUAUGCACUAUCAUUUGUGGAUGAUUACUCAAGUGCUAUUUUUGUGUAUUUUCUGAGAAACAAAAGUGAUACGGUGCAAGCAACCGAGAAGUUCCUAGCGGACACAGCCUCAUAUGGUGAUGUUAAAUGCAUUAGGUCUGAUAAUGGGACAGAGUUUAUGUGCAGAAGGUACCAAGAUUUACUGAGUAAACAUAAGAUCAGACAUGAAACUUCAGCGCCAUAUUCCCCCCAUCAAAAUGGUACUGUAGAGCGGAAUUGGCGCACCCUUUUUGAUAUGGGGAGGUGUAUGCUCAUUGAGAGCGGUUUACCCAAGUACUUAUGGACAUAUGCAGUCCAGACCGCAGCUGUGAUCAGGAACAGAUGUUUCAGUCGUCGUACUGAACAAACACCCUACUUCUUACUAACAGGAUGCAAACCCAACAUUUCUACUAUGCAAAAGUUUGGUUGUGCAUGUUUUGCUUACAGGCAAAACAAAACAAAGCUGGACUCAAGAUGUACUGAAGGAAUAUUCAUUGGCUAUGACAAAUACAGUCCUGCAUAUCUCAUUUACUUUACUUUGAACAAGAGUGUGCAGAAGGUUAGACUGGUAAAGUUUGUAAGCAAAAAUGUUGAAGAGAGGCAGACACAAACAGUUCUUAUCCAUGAGGAGGAUGACAUACCAACUGUCUCACGACCUCGAGUGGUGAAAACAUCAUCCUCUCACAAGGAUGAAUCUGAUGGUGAAACUUCUGAGGAAAAAUGGAAACAAAAUCCAGACACAAACCAGGCAGCAGGAACAAACAGAAGGUAUCCAGAAAGGACGAGAAAGAAACCAGAAUAUUUAAAAGACUAUGUAUCAAAAGGGGAGGAUAAUGAUGAUCAAGGAUCAUAUAUCGACUACUGUUACAGAGCAACAUGUGGUAUGCCCAUUACAUACAACGAUGCUAUAGAGUCCCCAAAUUCUGAUAAAUGGAAGGCAGCAAUGGAUGAAGAGAUGCAUUCUUUAUUAGAGAAUGACACCUAUACCCUGACGGACUUACCAAAGGGCAAGAAAGCAGUGGGGGGUAGGUGGGUAUAUGUUCUGAAGAAAAAUGAUGACGGAUCAGAAAGAUACAAGGCUAGGUAUGUAGCAAAAGGUUACGGUCAAAGAGCUGGACUAGAUUAUGAUGAAACAUUUUCCCCAACAGCUAGUCUAACAAGCGUGAGGGUACUGAUGCAGUGUGCUGUACAGGAGAACCUCAUUUUACACCAGAUGGAUGUCAAGACAGCUUAUCUUCAUUCACCAAUAGAUUGCGACAUAUAUAUAGAACAACCAAAAGGAUAUGAAGUUAAAAGCAACCCGGAUGAACAUUUAGUGUUUAAACUGAAGAAGUCUCUGUACGGAUUAAAACAAUCUGGCAGGAACUGGAAUAAAACUUUACAUGACUACUUGAUAACUAAAGGAUUCAGUCAAAAUCCUGCAGACCAUUGUGUAUAUACCAGGACAACAGAGAGCGACAAAGCCAUAAUACUCAUUUGGGUUGAUGACAUUAUUUUAGCCGCCAGUGAUGCACGUGUUCUGCAAACAGUAAAGUCAAUGCUGGCAAAGAGAUUCAGAAUGAAGGACAUGGGAUCACUAAAACAUUUUAUCGGUAUAGAGUUUGAACAGAAAGAGAACUGUAUUCAGAUGACUCAACAGAAGUAUGCUGAACAGAUAUUAGAAAGGUUCAAUAUGCAUGACUGUAGAACAAGAGCAACACCAUGUGAACAGAAGAGAAACUAUAACGAUGGUGCAAAGAAACUCAUAGAUGUACGACUGUAUAGAGAAGCAGUAGGUAGUCUUCUUUAUUUGACAUCAUGUACAAGACCAGACCUCAGCUUUAUUGUAAGCAAGUUAUCACAGUAUAUCAAAGACCCGACUGAAGAAUAUUGGAUUACUGUGACUCAUGUACUAAGGUAUCUUAAAGGUACAACAGGAAAAACUCUGACUUGCAGACCAAACGAGACAAAACUAAGAGUACAGGCUUACAGUGAUGCAGACUGGGCUGGUGAUGUAAUGGAUAGACGAAGCACAUCAGGUUACUGCAUUAAACUUAAUGAUGAAAGUGCAUUGAUAUCAUGGAAAACAAAGAAACAACCAACUGUAGCUUUAUCAAGUUGUGAAGCAGAAUACAUUGCAUUAGCAACAACUAUACAGGAAUGUUUGUACCUUUCAUAUUUGUUGCCAAGUAUGUAUGCACAGGACAUGAUGACACCCUUAAUCCUAGAGGACAACCAGGGUACCAUUGCUUUAGCAAAGAACCCCGUCAGCAGGCAGAGAUGCAAACACAUAGAUAUAAAAUACCAUUUUAUAAGAUCAUGUGUGAACGAUGGGAAAGUGAUGUUACAAUAUUGCCAAACUGAUCAGAUGGUAGCAGACGGAAUGACAAAACCAGCAACAAAAACUGCAUUGAAGAAAUAUGAAAACAUAAUGUUUGGAAAAUAA
rnacentral:lncRNA from 1 species